UAAAGACUGACGUUUUUAAAUUGGUGUAUUUUUUUUUGUCGUGCGCUCAGCCAUCUUGUCUGGUUUGUUUAUAAACAAACUAGACAAGAUGGCUGAGUGCACGGAGCGCACCGCAAAUUCCUUCACCCGAGCCGCGAAGGAAAUUAGCAACUUUAACACCGGCUGCUUCCAAUAAUUCCGGAGGUGUUCGGAAAUUGAAUAGAGCCGGCUGCUUCCAAUAAUUCCGGAUUAAGGG